GGAGGAGGCGGUGGGCAGAGUGCUCCACAGCAACACCUAAAAAGGGCUGGGUUUGGAGAAAAGAUGAACUCAGAUUUGAAUUGUAAGUAAAAUUCCCACCUGCUCCCCAAGUCAGCGCACUUAAGGAAAAGAAAUCACAUCCUGAAAACACUAGCACAGGUUGCAAAAACUGCUUCUUGCGGACCAAGUGGGCUGAACAAACUGCACUGGAGAAGGAAGACGACACGAAAAGGUGCAAAGGUGGCCAACAGAUGAGGAAACUUGAGCUGGCCGGGAGUCUCCUUACAGCUGCUUCCAAAUUAAGCAUAUCUGGAUGGUGUGACACUUUUUGUUAGUCCGAGAACUGUAUGGGCAUCGCAACUGGGCCUGUUUCAAGACAGACUUGUUGGAACCUUCAAAUCAUGUACCUUACAGUGGUGUUUCAACUCUCAGAACUCUUCUCAAGCUCCCUACGCCUUCUCACCGAACCCUGCAAAGAUGAGCAAAGCCCUCAGGCUCAACUCAACAACAAAUUCAUCUCUGCUUACCCCUCUCAUCUCCUCUCCAGUCUGAACCCAAUUCUCUCCCAUCUCCUCCAGGACCCUGUUCCAUAAAUCUCUCCUCUCUUAAAUACAUUUUUUCACUAAAAUAAAGUUUAGUCAUUAUAAUGUGCU